rnacentral:rRNA from 1 species
UACGGGGGGGGGCAAGCGUUGUUCGGAAUUACUGGGCGCUAAAGCGUGCGCAGGCGGUUUUGUAAGUCAGAUGUGAAAUCCCCGGGCUUAACCUGGGAACUGCGUUUGAAACUACAAGGCUAGAGUGUGGCAGAGGGGGGUGGAAUUCCACGUGUAGCAGUGAAAUGCGUAGAGAUGUGGAGGAACACCGAUGGCGAAGGCAGCCCCCUGGGUUAACACUGACGCUCAGGCACGAAAGCGUGGGGAGCAAACAGG